rnacentral:rRNA from 1 species
GCAACCCUUAAGCUUAGUUGCCAUCAUUAAGUUGGGCACUCUAAGUUGACUGCCGGUGACAAACCGGAGGAAGGUGGGGAUGACGUCAAAUCAUCAUGCCCCUUAUGAUUUGGGCUACACACGUGCUACAAUGGACAAUACAAAGGGCAGCGAAACCGCGAGGUCAAGCAAAUCCCAUAAAGUUGUUCUCAGUUCGGAUUGUAGUCUGCAACUCGACUACAUGAAGCUGGAAUCGCUAGUAAUCGUAGAUCAGCAUGCUACGGUGAAUACGUUCCCGGGUCUUGUACACACCGCCCGUCACACCACGAGAGUUUGUAACACCCGAAGCCGGUGGAGUAACCUUUUAGGAGCUAGCCGUCGAAGGUGGGACAAAUGAUUGGGGUGAAGUCGUAACAAGGUAGCCGUAUCGGAAGGUGCGGCU